UCACUGCUAUCGGGGUUCGAUUAAGCCAUGCGAGUCGAGAGGGUUCGGCCCUCGGCGUACUGCUCAGUAACACGUGGAUAACCUGCCCUAAGGAAGGGGAUAACCUCGGGAAACUGAGGAUAAUACCCUAUAGGAUACCGAUGCUGGAAUGCCCGGUAUCCCAAAGCUCCGGCGCCUUAGGAUGGAUCUGCGGCCGAUUAGGUCGUUGUUGGGGUAACGGCCCAACAAGCCGAUAAUCGGUACGGGUUGUGGGAGCAAGAGCCCGGAGUUGGAUUCUGAGACACGAAUCCAGGCCCUACGGGGCGCAGCAGGCGCGAAACCUUUACAAUGCGGGCAACCGUGAUAAGGGAACCUCGAGUGCCUGUAAACGCAGGCUGUUCAGGUGUUUAAAACGCACCUGGAGAAAGGGCCGGGCAAGACCGGUGCCAGCCGCCGCGGUAAUACCGGCGGCUCGAGUGGUGGCCGCUUUUAUUGGGCUUAAAGCGUUCGUAGCUGGGUUGUUAAGUCUCUUGGGAAAUCUGGCGGCUUA
rnacentral:rRNA from 1 species